rnacentral:rRNA from 1 species
GAUGAACGCUGGCGGCGUGCCUAAUACAUGCAAGUCGAGCGAACGGACGAGAGGCUUGCUUCUCUGAUGUUAGCGGCGGACGGGUGAGUAACACGUGGAUAACCUACCUAUAAGACUGGGAUAACUUCGGGAAACCGGAGCUAAUACCGGAUAAUAUUUUGAACCGCAUGGUUCAAAAGUGAAAGACGGUCUUGCUGUCACUUAUAGAUGGAUCCGCGCUGCAUUAGCUAGUUGGUAAGGUAACGGCUUACCAAGGCAACGAUGCAUAGCCGACCUGAGAGGGUGAUCGGCCACACUGGAACUGAGACACGGUCCAGACUCCUACGGGAGGCAGCAGUAGGGAAUCUUCCGCAAUGGGCGAAAGCCUGACGGAGCAACGCCGCGUGAGUGAUGAAGGUCUUCGGGUCGUAAAACUCUGUUAUUAGGGAAGAACAUAUGUGUAAGUAACUGUGCACAUCUUGACGGUACCUAAUCAGAAAGCCACGGCUAACUACGUG